rnacentral:rRNA from 1 species
UACAGAGGGUGCAAGCGUUAAUCGGAGUUACUGGGCGUAAAGGGCGCGUAGGCGGUUAUUUAAGUUAGAUGUGAAAUCCCUGGGCUUAACCUAGGAACUGCAUCUAAUACUGGGUAACUGGAGUAUUGUAGAGGGUAGUGGAAUUUCCGGUGUAGCGGUGAAAUGCGUAGAGAUCGGAAGGAACACCAGUGGCGAAGGCGGCUACCUGGACAAAUACUGACGCUGAGGCGCGAAAGCGUGGGGAGCAAACAGG